GAUGAACGCUAGCGGCAGGCUUAAUACAUGCAAGUCGAGGGGUAGCAAGAUUGUAGCAAUACAAUUGUUGACGACCGGCAAACGGGUGCGGAACACGUACACAACCUUCCUACAAGUGGGGAAUAGCCCAGAGAAAUUUGGAUUAAUACCCCGUAACAUAGCGAUGUGGCAUCACAUUGCUAUUAUAGCUUCGGCGCUUGUUGAUGGGUGUGCGGCUGAUUAGAUAGUUGGCGGGGUAACGGACCACCAAGUCUACGAUCAGUAGCUGAUGUGAGAGCAUGAUCAGCCACACGGGCACUGAGACACGGGCCCGGCUCCUACGGGAGGCAGCAGUAAGGAAUAUUGGACAAUGGACGCAAGUCUGAUCCAGCCAUGCCGCGUGAAGGAUUAAGGUCCUCUGGAUUGUAAACUUCUUUUAUAAGGGACGAAAAAAGGUCUUUCUAGAUCGUCUGACGGUACCUUAUGAAUAAGCACCGGCUAACUCCGUGCCAGCCGCCGCGGUAAAAC
rnacentral:rRNA from 1 species